rnacentral:tRNA from 1 species
CGCGGGGUGGAGCAGCGGUAGCUCGACGGGCUCAUAACCCGUAGGUCAGACGUUCGAAUCGUCUCCCCGCAA